CCUACGUGAGGCAGCAGUGGGGAAUAUUGCACAAUGGGGGAAACCCUGAUGCAGCGACGCCGCGUGAGUGAAGAAGUAAUUCGUUAUGUAAAGCUCUAUCAGCAGGGAAGAAAAUGACGGUACCUGAGUAAGAAGCCCCGGCUAACUACGUGCCAGCAGCCGCGGUAAUACGUAGGGGGCAAGCGUUAUCCGGAUUUACUGGGUGUAAAGGGAGCGUAGACGGCAGUGCAAGUCUGGAGUGAAAGGCGGGGGCUCAACCCCCGGACUGCUCUGGAAACGGUACGGCUGGAGUGCAGGAGAGGUAAGUGGAAUUCCUGGUGUAGCGGGGAAAUGCGUAGAUAUUAGGAGGAACACCAGUGGCGAAGGCGGCUUACUGGACUGUAACUGACGUUGAGGCUCGAAAGCGUGGGGAGCAAACAGGAUUAGAUACCCUUGUAGUC
rnacentral:rRNA from 1 species